GACGAACGCUGGCGGCGUGCUUAACACAUGCAAGUCGAACGAAGUGGCGAACGGGUGAGUAACGCGUAAUCAACCUGCCCUUCAGCGGGGGACAACAGGUGGAAACGACUGCUAAUACAGCAUACGGAAGGAGGGGAUUGCGUCUGAUUAGCUAGUUGGAGGGGUAACGGCCCACCAAGGCGAUGAUCAGAGGCCGGUCUUAGCGGGUGAGCGGGCAAAUUGGGGCUGGAACAAGGGCCCAGUUCCUACGGGAGGCAGCAGGGGGGAAUCUUCCGCAAAGGACGGAAGUCUGACGGGGCAACGCCGCGUGGGGGGAGGCGGCCUUCGGGUUGUGAAGAUCUGUUAAUCGGGACGCGGUACCGAACUAGAAAGCCACGGCUAACUACGUGCCAGCAGCCGCGGUAAUAC
rnacentral:rRNA from 1 species